CGCGCGGGGCCGCGGUGGGCGCGCCCGGAGCCGCCCGCAGGCCGGGGCGGAACGUGCGGCGGGCGCGCAGCGAUGGCGGCGGCCGAGGUGGCGCGGCAGGGUGAAGGCUGUCGUACUGUCCCGCUUUCCGGGCACGUCGGAUUUGAUAGUUUGCCUGACCAGCUGGUUAAUAAGUCUGUUAAUCAUGGGUUUUGUUUCAACAUCCUGUGUGUGGGGGAAACUGGUCUUGGUAAGUCCACCCUCAUGGACACCCUUUUCAACACCAAGUUUGAAGGUGACCCAGCAUCUCACUCACAGCCUGGUGUCCAGCUGAAAUCCAGUACCUAUGACCUGCAGGAGAGCAAUGUCAACCUCAAGCUGACUAUUGUGAGCACAGUGGGCUUUGGGGAUCAGAUCAACAAAGAGGACAGCUAUAAGCCCAUUGUUGAGUUCAUUGAUGCUCAGUUUGAAGCCUACUUGCAAGAAGAACUGAAGAUAAAGAGAGUCUUGCACAACUACCAUGACACCCGGAUCCACGCUUGCUUGUACUUCAUUGCCCCCACCGGCCAUUCCCUGAAGUCCCUGGACUUGGUAACGAUGAAGAAGCUUGACAGCAAGGUGAACAUCAUUCCUAUCAUUGCCAAAUCUGAUGCCAUUUCCAAGAGUGAGCUGACCAAGUUUAAAAUUAAAAUCACAAGUGAACUGGUCAGUAAUGGGGUGCAGAUCUACCAGUUCCCGACAGAUGAUGAAUCAGUGGCGGAGAUAAAUGGGACAAUGAAUGCCCACUUGCCAUUUGCAGUGAUCGGGAGUACGGAGGAGCUGAAAAUAGGAAACAAAAUGAUGAAAGCUCGUCAGUACCCUUGGGGUACAGUGCAGGUGGAGAACGAAGCUCACUGUGACUUUGUGAAGCUGCGGGAGAUGCUGAUCCGCGUGAACAUGGAAGACCUUCGUGAGCAGACCCACACACGCCACUAUGAGCUCUACAGGCGAUGUAAACUGGAAGAGAUGGGUUUCAAGGACACUGAUCCAGACAGCAAACCCUUCAGCUUACAAGAAACCUACGAAGCCAAAAGAAAUGAGUUUCUGGGAGAACUGCAGAAAAAGGAAGAGGCAAUGAGACAGAUGUUUGUCCAGAGGGUCAAGGAAAAAGAAGCUGAGUUGAAGGAGGCUGAAAAAGAGCUGCAUGAAAAGUUUGAUCGCUUGAAGAAAUUGCAUCAGGAUGAAAAGAAGAAGCUAGAGGAUAAGAAGAAGUCUCUGGAUGAUGAAGUAAAUGCAUUUAAACAAAGGAAGACAGCAGCUGAAUUGCUUCAGUCACAGGCUCAGCAGGCUGGAGGAUCGCAAACUCUUAAAAGGGAUAAGGAAAGGAAAAAUUCGGGUUUCCUGUAGAACCUUUCCCUUGGCCCCAGAGGCGAAUGCCACCCUCGGCUGUGCCGUUGUGCCCGUUCGCUCACCUUCCCCACUGCUCCCCUCCCGCUCACCGCUCGGCCAGGGCAGAGCCCUUGGCUGCCGGCCUUGGGCUCUUGUGAGGGGCCCAGCUGGCAGAGGGGCUCGUGCCAGGCUCCUGCAGCCCUUGGGCAGCAGCAGGGUGCCCACUGCCCCUGUGCCAUCGCUCAGCUUUUCCCUGCUCCGUGCUGCCAGAGCUGCUUGGGGUGCAUUUAGCUCCUGCUGUGGGUGCAGCCUGGUGCUGCCGUGGGGUGGGAUGUGCUCUCUCCACACACUGGCUGCCCUCUCCCCAUGUUCAUUUGCUGUUCCUAAGCCCUCAUUACCCCCUGUGCUGCCAUGUGUGACUCAAAUAACUUUCAAGGACGUUUUGCAAAACUUGACAUCCUCACAGACGUGGGCCUUGAGUCCAAACCUCUAGUUCCCAGGCUUGAGGAAAUCUCAAAUUUGGAUCCAUGGUUUGCAACUAAGUGUUCUCUGAAUGCUGCAGGGGUCAUGAAGGAUUUCUUGCCUGGUCUCCCUCUCAGUGUGCUGACCUGGAUGCACAUCCUGGAUCCAAUCUCAGGGAAAGCUGGUCACCUUGCUGUACAUAUCAGUGUUUCUGAAGAAAGACUAUGCUGUUUCAUUGACUUUCUUCUCAGUGAUUCCAACAAUUUACGGUUUUAAUGCAAAAUUUUUUUUUUUAUUUGACAUCUCUUUAGAACUGUACAGAUGUUGACAAGUUUCUUCUCAUAUUUUCUAUUCAGCAAAAGCCUUGUUUUUAUUGCAAGAUUUGCACUAAAAAGGAGGGUGUUUUGCUCACUGGGCCAGGAGCUCACUCUGCCCAAGUGCAACUGUGGUUUGCCUGCGUCUUCUCUCUGUAUUUCUGGCUGAGUUUUGUUUUUAAAUAAAGAGUUCAUCGGACAGUGAAUUCUGGUUAACAUUUACUUCUUUUGUUUUUUGUUUUCUUUGCCCUUCUUUUACAGUAACCCAUGGCUCUGUACUGAGUAAUUACCCCUGAAUACAAUGGCCUGGAAUGGACCUUUACUUGUUAGAUCGGAGGGUCUAAUAAAACAUGACAGCAUUUCAGCUGUGACCUUUCCAGGGUGUUAUCCUUGCUCUCUUCUAUAUCCUCGUUGUGAUUCUGUCUUUACUAUGUACUGGUGGUUAUUGCUUUUAUUAAACAAUGUAAAAUUAGUCAUAACAAGGUUCUGGAUGCUACAACUUUAAAUCCUACCUUUUUUUUUUUUCCCUACAAUUAAUGGAUUCCUCUUUCUCCUGGUCUCAUUCCACCCAGCUAAAUAAGGGAUAUGGAAAUAAGUUCUCUUUUUUUAAUCUGUCUUCGCCAGCUGCACUGUGUCUGAGGGAGAAGACUGCCACUUCUAGAAGAGUUUAAGGGUCUUAUGUCUGGGGAGGGGGGAACAAAUCUUCAGUGUUAGUGUCUUGGAAAGAAGCUCCUUUACUGACUUGCAUGAUACUUUAAAUUGAAGUGUCUUGUAAUUUGUGUGACAAGACAGGGCGAUGUGGGGGGGACUGAUGACCUGGAAUUUUGAAGAGCAACAGAAAUGUGAUGUUGGGACUAAUGAUGUAGCGAAUACAUUUUCAAAUGUUGUUAUGGGCAUAUGUUUUUUCUAAUGUUGUCUUUAAUAAUAUAAAUGUCACGGGCUUCCCUAAGGUGUGAAGCCUAAGGAAUAUUUUCAAUAUGCUGGUGGUUUGAUUGGUUUUGGAAACCAUGCAUUUGGAGUCAAAGAAAAUACAAACAUGGUGCAACUUGCUCUGUUGGCAGCCACGAAAUAUUUAAUUUUAUCAAAGAAAUAAAGUAAGAACUGUGUGUUCUCA